UGGGGAAUAUUGCACAAUGGGCGCAAGCCUGAUGCAGCAACGCCGCGUGAACGAUGAAGGUCUUCGGAUCGUAAAGUUCUGUUGCAGGGGAAGAUAAUGACGGUACCCUGUGAGGAAGCCCCGGCUAAAUACGUGCCAGCAGCCGCGGUAAUACGUAUGGGGCGAGCGUUGUCCGGAAUUAUUGGGCGUAAAGGGUACGUAGGCGGUCUAUUAAGUCAGGUGUGAAAGCGUGAGGCUUAACCUCAUUAAGCACUUGAAACUGAUAGACUUGAGUGAAGGAGAGGAAAGUGGAAUUCCUAGUGUAGCGGUGAAAUGCGUAGAUAUUAGGAGGAAUACCGGUGGCGAAGGCGACUUUCUGGACUUUUACUGACGCUCAGGUACGAAAGCGUGGGGAGCAAACAGG
rnacentral:rRNA from 1 species